UACCUUCCUCCCAAACCCUACCUUCCUUGUUACUGUGAAUAACAACAUCCUCCCAGGUCCUCAGGCUCCUGUGUGAAGUGGAAAUUGAAGAGGACCUUGAAAAUAUUGAGCUUAUAACAGCCUUGGUGAAGAUGUGGCACACAUGCAGAGUUGGCAUUCCAGGAGCUGCUCAAUCCCCCUCUUCCCAAUGACCCAAAGCAAGCACUUUCUCCCUCAACUCUCUCUGUUACAAGGCUGAUGACUUCAAAAGAUGCAGGAAGCAACACAUGAAACCUAGAAUUAGCUAGCAUCUGCUAGAGAUCUAGAAGAGAACAGCAAUCAUUCAAGCCACAAGCCAGAGGCCAUAGACCAGGAGAAACAGAAUCAACCAGAGCCAAUCAGAGGGUUCCUGGAGGUGAAUUUUGAAGUCAAAUACCAUAGAGUGAAAGAAGAAUCUGGGAAUUAUAUCCAUCAUUGGCUACCUUCAAAUAAAACUGGCAAACUCUCCAAGGCAAGAAGUGACCACCAGGAUUGAUAGAGGGAGUUUCUGCACCUGGAAGUUUUCUUUCUUAUUGAAAUCACAGUCUCCAUUCCUAUCUUCACUGCCUCUAAGAACCCUGAAUGAAGAGAAUUAAAUAAACAGACUAAAAAUCAACA
rnacentral:lncRNA from 1 species